AUACGUAGGGAGCGAGCGUUGUCCGGAAUUACUGGGUGUAAAGGGAGCGUAGGCGGGAGUGCAAGUCAGAUGUGAAAUACAUGGGCUCAACCCAUGGGCUGCAUUUGAAAUUGCAUUUCUUGAGUGAAGUAGAGGUAAGCGGAAUUCCUGGUGUAGCGGUGAAAUGCGUAGAUAUCAGGAGGAACACCGGUGGCGAAGGCGGCUUACUGGGCUUUUACUGACGCUGAGGCUCGAAAGCGUGGGGAGCAAACAGGAUUAGAUACCCUGGUAGUCCACGCUGUAAACGAUGAUUACUAGGUGUGGGGGGACUGACCCCUUCCGUGCCGCAGUUAACACAAUAAGUAAUCCACCUGGGGAGUACGGCCGCAAGGUUGAAACUCAAAUGAAUUGACGGGG
rnacentral:rRNA from 1 species